AUUGAACGCUGGCGGCAGGCCUAACACAUGCAAGUCGAGCGGAUGAGGGGAGCUUGCUCCUGGAUUCAGCGGCGGACGGGUGAGUAAUGCCUAGGAAUCUGCCUGGUAGUGGGGGAUAACGUCCGGAAACGGGCGCUAAUACCGCAUACGUCCUGAGGGAGAAAGUGGGGGAUCUUCGGACCUCACGCUAUCAGAUGAGCCUAGGUCGGAUUAGCUAGUUGGUGGGGUAAAGGCCUACCAAGGCGACGAUCCGUAACUGGUCUGAGAGGAUGAUCAGUCACACUGGAACUGAGGCACGGUCCAGACUCCUACGGGAGGCAGCAGUGGGGAAUAUUGGACAAUGGGCGAAAGCCUGAUCCAGCCAUGCCGCGUGUGUGAAGAAGGUCUUCGGAUUGUAAAGCACUUUAAGUUGGGAGGAAGGGCAGUAAGUUAAUACCUUGCUGUUUUGACGUUACCAACAGAAUAAGCACCGGCUAACUUCGUG
rnacentral:rRNA from 1 species